rnacentral:lncRNA from 1 species
CUGUUUGUGAAGCACAGGUCUUCUGCCACUGAUAAGCCCCACCCCCCACAGGUCCAUAUGCAGUGUCAACAUAUUCCAAACCCAUGCUCACUUCCCGACCCCAUGGAGCAUACCCAGUCACCCCAUUGCAGAGGCCUUCACCUCUCCACCACUGCCCACCACAGUUCACCUGGUCUUCAUACAGGUCCUGCCCAACAGAGUCAGAUAUACUUGCCUGCCUGUAGAGGUUCAAGACCCCCAGUCUAUGCAAGCUGAAAAGUUGCCUGAGGACUUGCUGUUGUGUUGGGCCAUUCCAUAGGGGGGGCUGCCUGCCCUGGCUGAACUGGAUUAAAUCUGUGCUCUAGUGGGUGUGACAGACCCCUGGGCUAACAGACCAGGGGAAGAGCUCCAAUGGUGUCUGCAGGGUCUGUGUCAGCACACCUGUCCUGGGUCACAACAAUGGCUACCAUCAAUGUCCCAGUCUCCAGAGAGGUAUCACCUCCCACCAAGAUGCACCUACAGCCUACCAGGUGUUUUCAUGGAAAUCAAACCAACAAAUGCAUCACUUUCAAGUCUUUGGAGGUACGGGGCCAAUAUAUAUCAGAGAAUAAGAGAGAUUCUGGUAUGCUAAGAAGAUUGGAGACCAUUCCAGCCCCAAGACUCUUUCAAGGCCAUUCAAUUUUCAGAGUGUUCUUCUCAGCAGGGAUAGAGAAAUCAUGUAUACCUCUUUUUAAAUCCAAAAAAAAGUUAGCUUAACAUUCUAGGCCAGGUGAAUAGUUUCCUAACAAUUUAAAAUAUUGCAGCAAUAAAAUGUGUUCAUAAUAACUAAAAAUUUGAGAAUUUGGUUGUCUAAGAGUUUAUAUAAAUUAUUUUAUUUGAUCUUGGGAAUAUCUCCAUCAUUCCUCGCUAACUGAAACCAAAAGGUGUCAUAUUUUGCCAAAAUUAACAUGACACACAGCAAAGCUAUGAUUGUCUAACCCAAUCACUAUGCUCUUACCCGUUAUAGUGUAAUAAGCCCUAUCACCCUUUCCUCAAAAAUGUACAUAAAAUACAUGAUACAUAAAAUCUCCUUCACAGGGAAAAACAGAAAAAUAAUGCUCUCAAUGUGAAUGAUUAGUUAAGAUUAUAAUAGCCAUGAGUUUUAGUCCAAUUUGUGUACUAAAAAUAGACAGUAGAACUUUCCUUUUGGGAGAAGAAAGAGAAAACGAAAGAAUCAG